rnacentral:rRNA from 1 species
UACGAACUGUGCAAACGUUAUUCGGAAUCACUGGGCUUACAGGGUGCGUAGGCGGCUUGCUAAGUAGGGUGUGAAAGCCCCCGGCUCAACCGGGGAAUGGCGCCUUAAACUGGCGAGCUGGAGUGAGAUAGGGGUGUGCGGAACUUCCGGUGGGAGCGGUGAAAUGUGUUGAUAUCGGAAGGAACGCCGGUGGCGAAAGCGGCACACUGGAUCUACAACUGACGCUGAGGCACGAAAGCGUGGGGAGCGAACAGG